AGUUCGGAUCGGAGCCUGCAACCCGGCUCCGUGAAGCUGGAUUCGCUAGUAAUCGCGCAUCAGCCAUGGCGCGGUGAAUACGUUCCCGGGCCUUGUACACACCGCCCGUCAAGCCAUGGGAGCCGGGGGCGCCUGAAGUGCGGUACCGCGAGGGCCGCCCAGGGGCGAGACCGGUGACUGGGGCUAAGUCGUAACAAGGUAUC
rnacentral:rRNA from 1 species